GCUGGGCACGGUGGUGCAUGCCUGUAAUCCCAGCGGCUUGGGAGGCUGAGGCAGGAGGAUCGUGAGUUCAAAGCCAGCCUCAGCAACUUAGCGAGGCACAAAGCAAUUCAGUGAGACCCUGUCUCCA
rnacentral:sRNA from 1 species